rnacentral:rRNA from 1 species
GACAGAGGGGGCAAACGUUGUUCGGAAUUACUGGGCGUAAAGCGCGUGUAGGCUGCUUGGCAAGUCGGAUGUGAAAGCCCUGGGCUCAACCCAGGAAGUGCAUUCGAAACUUCCGAGCUCGAGUUCUGGAGAGGAUAGCGGAAUUCUCGGUGUAGAGGUGAAAUUCGUAGAUAUCGAGAGGAACACCGGUGGCGAAGGCGGCUAUCUGGACAGAAACUGACGCUGAGACGCGAAAGCGUGGGGAGCAAACAGG